rnacentral:rRNA from 1 species
AGUGAACGCUGGCGGUAGGCCUAACACAUGCAAGUCGAACGGCAGCACAGUAAGAGCUUGCUCUUACGGGUGGCGAGUGGCGGACGGGUGAGGAAUACAUCGGAAUCUACUUUUUCGUGGGGGAUAACGUAGGGAAACUUACGCUAAUACCGCAUACGACCUACGGGUGAAAGCAGGGGAUCUUCGGACCUUGCGCGAUUGAAUGAGCCGAUGUCGGAUUAGCUAGUUGGCGGGGUAAAGGCCCACCAAGGCGACGAUCCGUAGCUGGUCUGAGAGGAUGGUUCGGCACACUGGAACUUGAGCACGGUCCAGGCUCCUACGGGAGGCAGCAGUGGGGAAUAUUUGGCAAUGGGGGGCAGCCCGGACCCGGCCUACCGCCGUGGUGAAAGAAGCCCUUCGGUUGGUAAGGCCCUUUUUUGGGAAAGAAAAGCAGCAGGUUAAUACCCCGCUGUUCUGACGGUACCCAAAGAAUAAGCACCGGCUAACUUCGUG